rnacentral:snRNA from 1 species
AUCCGGUCAGUUUUGGUAGGAAC